UACGUAGGGUGCGAGCGUUAAUCGGAAUUACUGGGCGUAAAGCGUGCGCAGGCGGUUAUUUAAGUCAGGUGUGAAAGCCCUGGGCUUAACCUAGGAAUUGCGCUUGAGACUGGAUAGCUUGGAGUGCGGCAGAGGGAGGUGGAAUUCCACGUGUAGCAGUGAAAUGCGUAGAGAUGAGGAGGAACACCGAUGGCGAAGGCAGCCUCCUGGGCCAGCACUGACGCUCAUGCACGAAAGCGUGGGGAGCAAACAGG
rnacentral:rRNA from 1 species